UACGAAGGGGGCUAGCGUUGCUCGGAAUCACUGGGCGUAAAGCGCACGUAGGCGGCUUCUUAAGUCAGGGGUGAAAUCCUGGAGCUCAACUCCAGAACUGCCUUUGAUACUGAGAAGCUUGAGUCCGGGAGAGGCGAGUGGAACUGCGAGUGUAGAGGUGAAAUUCGUAGAUAUUCGCAGGAACACCAGUGGCGAAGGCGGCUCACUGGCCCGGUACUGACGCUGAGGUGCGAAAGCGUGGGGAGCAAACAGG
rnacentral:rRNA from 1 species